GGUACUUGGUUUGUUGCUAGAAGAGGUGCUCCAAAGUAGGCGAGAGAGAGAUUUGGUGGUUGGAAACGAAGAGCGGGAGAAAUAGGGCUUCAGAUGAGUGGGUACUUUUAGAGAGUUUGUGGCAAAAGGGCUAGAUAAUUUUAGAGAGAGAGAGAGACAAUGUAGAGAGGGGAACUUCUCUGUAACUUUAGGUUUUAGAGAAAGAGAUGGAGUUUUAAGAGAAAGAGAGAGAUGGUGAUUUGACAGAGAGAGAGAGAACGUGCUUCGAGAGAUUGACGUUAACAGAAAAUAAAAAGUUUAGAGAGGGCAUCAUUUUAAUGUUUCUUUAGGUGAAAAAUUCAUGAUCAAAAUGGUCCAAAGAGUUGUAAGAUAGAAAAGAUGGAGACAUUUUGCUUGCAAGUAAUAUUUUC
rnacentral:lncRNA from 1 species